CCUACGAGGUGCAGCAGUGAGGCAUAUUGGUCAAUGGACGCAAGUCUGAACCAGCCAUGCCGCGUGCAGGAUGACGGCUCUAUGAGUUGUAAACUGCUUUUGUACGAGGGUCAACCCCGAUACGUGGAUCGGGUUGAAAGUAUCGUACGAAUAAGGAUCGGCUAACUCCGUGCCAGCAGCCGCGGUAAUACGGAGGAUCCGAUCGUUAUCCGGAUUGAUUGGGUUUAAAGGGUGCGUAGGCGGUUUGAUAAGUUAGAGGUGAAAUGUCGGGGCUCAACCCCGAAACUGCCUCUAAUACUGUUGGACUAGAGAAUAGUUGCGGUAGGCGGAAUGUAUGGUGUAGCGGUGUAAUGCUUAGAGAUCAUACAGAACACCGAUUGCGAAGGCAGCUUACCAAACUAUAUCUGACGUUGAGGCACGAAAGCGUGGGUAGCAAACAGGAUUAGAUACCCUUGUAGUC
rnacentral:rRNA from 1 species